UACGUAGGUCGCAAGCGUUGUCCGGAUUUACUGGGCGUAAAGAGCGCGCCGGCGGCUGGUCAAGUCCGAUGUGAAAUCUCCCGGCUCAACUGGGAAACUGCAUCGGAAACUGAUCGGCUUGAAGAUGGGAGAGGGUAGUGGAAUUCCCGGUGUAGUGGUGAAAUGCGUAGAUAUCGGGAGGAACACCAGUGGCGAAGGCGACUACCUGGCCCAUUCUUGACGCUGAGGCGCGAAAGCUAGGAGAGCGAACGGG
rnacentral:rRNA from 1 species